ensembl:lncRNA
CAAAAAAGUAUUUUAGCAAACAAACAAUGCCGGUCACUGGUGUAAGUGAUUAUCUCCAAUUCAUGUGCAAAUGGUGACAGCAGAUAAAGGGCCAAUAGGGCAUCCCCGGCAGAAGAACAGAACACUUGUAGGAAGGAGGAAUAUUGCUGCCCAUACACUUGCCAAUAAUGACUGCACUACAGAAUGCAGCAAGGAACAAAACACAGAAUCUCCAUGAGAGGCCAAGAGAGGGUGUGCUGCACAGUAUGAUGUUCUUGCUACGAGUAAAAUCUGAUCAAAAAUAAAUAAAUAAAAUAUCAGCCUAAGGAGCUCCCUAAACCAUCCAGUAGCAGAUUGGAGCAGUGUACCCAACAGAUCCAUGAACUGGUUGGUUUUUGGCAGAAAGAGAUGGAGAUGACAAAACCUUUGGAAGUAAAGAAUGUGUCCAGCUGUGUAUUACUGAACUUCCCUACAAGACCCAAACCUGACUGGCUUGUUCUGCUGUGUACCAAUACCUGCAGCAGCUCUUGCUUGUGAGGCAUUGAGAAUCACAGUGCAUCAUCCAAAAAUUCAGAGUUGAAUAUAAACAGAGAUAUUACUGCUUUGAGAUGCAUACAGCUCAGCAAGGUGGAUUCUUAUAAGACCAGACAACAUGGGCUUGCCCAAGCUGAGCACAAGAGCACCUUCCUGGGAAUGAACACGCUUGCAGAAAGCCUGAUGCCAGAGGUAUCCCAAGCUGUACAAGGAAGGCCAAUUAAAAGGCAAAGACAUUGGAACAACAAAACUUAAGAAAUAUCGCUCUAAACAUGUUGAGAAAGUCCUCAGUCCCUGAUCUAUCCA